UACGUAGGCAGCGAGCGUUGUUCGGAAUUACUGGGCGUAAAGAGUGUGUAGGCGGUGCUCUAAGUUCGGUGUGAAAUCUCCUGCUCAACUGGGAGGGUGCGCCGGAAACUGGAGUGCUUGAGCGUGGGAGAGGAAAGCGGAAUUCCGCGUGUAGCAGUGAAAUGCGUAGAUAUGCGGAGGAACACCGAUGGCGAAGGCAAUCCCCUGGGCCUGCACUGACGCUCAUGCACGAAAGCGUGGGGAGCAAACAGG
rnacentral:rRNA from 1 species